UUCUUAACUUUCUCCCUCUCCUCACAGCAUCUCUCUCACUUAUCACAACUCUCUCUCCUCACUGCUCUCCAUUCUCUCAUUAUCUCUCUUCAUUCGGCCUUCUCUCUCCUUGAUCACCACCCUGUUGCUGCAAUUUUCUCGCACCUCGAUCGCGUCACCACCUCACGCCACCGCUGCCACUUUGCUGCCUCCGGCCACCUCGCUGCCUCACGAGAAGGCCACCACCAGGCUGCUGCCGUCCAAUCAUCGCGCUACCAUCAAUUUCUCAAGUAUACAUGUACACCCCAUUGUCUGAUUUCUCUUCAGCUAGGAUUUUUUAGGGUUUAAUCAUUAAAUUGAAAUGAUUUUGAUAUAAUUGCUUUAAUUUGAAAAUAGGUCUAAAAUUUGCUUUGAAUUGCUCUGAGAAUUAGGAGUUAAAAAUGGGUCUGAAAAUUGCUGGCUACUGAAAAUGGGUCUAAAAAUUGCUUUGAAUUGGGUCUGAAAAUUGCUUUAAAUUGGCUACUGAGAAUUAGGAAUUGAGGCGGUCACUGAAAAUUUGCUACUAAAAAUAUUCAGGUCACUGCCUUGUGAAUUAACUGUAUAAUUUUGAAUUAAUUUGGAUUGAUUUAUGUUUUGAAUUGGGACUGUCAAAUCAUUUUUGGGACUGAUUUUGUGAAUUCUAUUGAGAUUAAUAUAUUUAUUGCCCUGGUGAAUUAGGAAUUGAGAUGAUUUUGGUCACUACCCUGGUGAAUUAGGAAUUGAGAUUAAUAUUUUGGUCAUUGCCCUUAUAAAUUAGGGAUUGAGAUGAUUUCUCUUUUUAUUGAUAUAUUUGUUAUUUUCAACGAAAUUUCUGUUAUAGUUAUGUAAUUGCAAAAUCUGUGGGCCCUGCUUUAUUUUAUUUAUGUUUUUUAAUUAGUUUCCAAUAUUAAAAUAAACUAAGUAGCAUGUACUUAGUUUCCUACUAAUAAAUUAAAUUUAAUAAAAUAAAAUAAAUUUUAAAAAUUAGAUAAUUAAUAUAAUAUCAUACAAAAUAUAAUAUAAUAAAAUAAAAUAGAAAAUAAUAAUAAAAUAUAUUAAAUAGAAUAAAUAAAUUUAAUUUAAUUUAAUUUAAUAAAUUAUAUUAAAUUUAAUAAAAAAAUUAAAAAUAUAUGUAAUAUAAUACAAAAUAAAAUACAAUACAAUAAAUAAUAAUAAUAAUUAAAUUUAAGAAAAUAAAAUAAAAUAAAUAAAUUUAAUAAUAGAUCAAAUUAAAUUUAAUAAUAAAUCAAAUAAUAUAAUAAUAUAAUAAAUCAAAUAAUAUAAUAACAAAUUUAAUAAUAAAUCAAAUAAUAUAACAAUAUCAAAUAAAUUUAAUAAUAAAUCAAAUAAUAUAAAAUAAAAAAAUCAAUAAAUUUAAUUUAAUAAAAUUAAAAAAAAUAAAUAAAUUUAAGUUUAAUAAUAUCUAAUUAAUAAAUAAAAUAAAAUAAAAUUAAUUAUAUUUAAUUAAUAUAAUCUAAUAUUAUGUAAAAGAAAAUAUAAAUUGAUAAUAAAUUAGAAUAAAAUAAAAUAAAAUAAUCAAUUAAAAAAUUAGAUAAUAUAAUAUAAUCCAAAAUAAAAUAAAAUAAUAAGUAAUAUAAUAAUAAAUUAGAAUAAGUAAUAUAGCUAACUAAAUUAACAUAAAAUAAUAGUCCCCAUAUUCAAAUAAUAGUUCUCAUAAACUAAGUAGUAUUUACUUAGUUUUCCAUUGGUAAAAUAAAUUAAGUAAUAUUUGCUUAGUUUGCCACAAUUAAAAUAAAAUGAAUAAAUAUUAUAUGUAUAUACAUAUACAUAUACAUAUAUAUAUAUAUAUAUAUAUAUGUGUGUGUGUGUGUGUGUGUGUGUGUGUGUGUGUGUGUGUACUAUACUUUGGAACUUAGAAACUUGUUUACUCUCUCUUCAAUCUGCAAUACACUCAAUAGACCACUUAGUUUGCUUAGUGUGACAUUAUCUAGCAUCAAUAAAUGCAAUAGUUAUAAUCAAUUACGACAAUACAUUUUAUAGUACAUAUAUCAUUCCAUUAACAUGCAAAUAUGUUGACCGCCUUAGUUAAGCUGGCUAGGGGUUGUUCGACAGCAGUUGCAAAGUGCAGGAACUACUUAAGUUAGCAUCAGUAAGUGUUAAUCCAUCGUUGUAGUAACAAUUUUAAAUUUAUAUAAUUUAUUGCAUGACACAAUUAAUGUAACACAUAUUGUUAUAUUUUAACUAUAGUAUACUAGACCCGGUCGCUAAACACACCUUACAUUUUAUCUGUUUGACGCACCUCCCGACCGAGUGCAUGCGCUACAACCAGUACGCACAGUACGAUGCAUGAUUUAUGCAGACUGUCUUGCGAGAGUUUCACGAAAUUUAAUAAGUUUAUAUUAAUUAGUUAUAUAUUAGUACAUAGUUGUUGCCUAAGAAAUUAAUUGUUCCUAACUUUUAAACUUUUGUUAUAGACUUAUUAUAAAUAUGACGAGGGCAUCUCUCAGGCAGCUAGUGACGAUGUUAUUAUUGCACAUGUCGCUGCGAAUUACUCCAGCUGGCUGUAUGAGAUGUGUCGGAGGGCAACCUGGGCAGUUGAUGACUAACCCAAGAACACCAUCAUAGAUCAGCAGCCCCACAGUCUCCGAUUUAGCAUGGCAGGCUAUGUGUGCGUAUUGGGAUGAUGAUGACUUCAAGAAGAAGUCUGAGCAUGCAAAAAAGAACCAUUCCAGCUCCGCAUAGUACACACGACUGGCUCGUAGUCUUUCCAGAAGGCGAAGUCGGUAAGUGUAAUAUUUUUAGGUGUUUAGUUAUAAGGAUAACACUAAUCUUACUUUUGAGUAAUCUCAAUAUUCACUCCUUAAUAAAAUGAUAUAAUUAACUCACGUAUACAAAAUAAAUUACAUGACCGAUUUGAGUAGCUUCGGGACCAGCGUAUAGCUUAGUUGGAGGCUGCUAGAGGGGGUUCUGAGCUGUUAGAUUUCACCAUCCCCCCUCUCGAGAUUGUAUUAUCUAAGGAUAAGGAGCUAAGAUUAUGGGUCGCGUCUCAGGAUCCCCCUGCUAGCAGUACCGAUAGGUAUCGAGUGUUGGGCCUAUCGAGGAUACCUGUAUAUACACUACCUAGACGUAAUAAUAUUUUUUAUGUUUCACGGAAUUAUCAUAACUUAUCAUAUAAUAUAAAUUAUUAUUAGUAAUGUUAUAUAUAUUUUCGCAGGCUCUAACUAGCGCCAGCAUCCAAGAGCACCUAUUGGAUCAUCUCAUACGGGCGCUGGCUUGGACGACGAGUUAUUCUAGAGGCUGAUAGCGGCGGUAUCGGAUAGGUUCCAUAUCGAUCUGAUAUUUCGUCGUCACCAAUUGCCUAGUAGUUCUCUAAUUCUUCACCAGCUCACUCAAAAGGUUCUAGUAAGGGCCACAAUAGAGAGUACGGGAUUACCAGAGGAGCCAUUUGUCAUGUUAAGCGGCGAGAUGCUCGGGAUGAUGGUUAACCUCCUAGAGCAGGCUUUUUGUCAGCCCCCGCCUACUCAAGUAUUCUGCAUGUUUAUGUUAUUUUCAUUUAACAGUAUCUUUUUAAUUCUCACAUAUAUAAAGACUAAUGAUUUUUAUUUUUAAUUCUAUCAACAGGGUGGCUAUAGCGAGUAGACUGACGAUGGCAACCGAGGACAACAAAGCUGAUUUUUAUAUACCUGAGCAGUAUCGUCGUCCACCCCCGCACGAUGAUGAUCCGACUACUAGUUUAUAGUUCAUUUGUAUUCAUUUUAUUCAUUAAAUUGUAGAUCAUUUGUUCAUAUAUUGUAGUAUAGUUGCGUCUAUACAAGUUUUGUAAAUCAUAUUGUAUAUAAUUUAUGAAACAUUAGCUUAUAUAUAUUUGUAAUUG
rnacentral:lncRNA from 1 species